rnacentral:rRNA from 1 species
UCUCUCCGUGAAGAAGCGGGGAUACUCCUAUAAGACGAAAAGACCCCAUGGAGCUUCAAACCCAACUACACCCUUAACUACCACAACCGCACAACCUCUUAGGGCCCUGUAUAGUUGGUUUUAGGUUGGGGCGACCACGGAGUACAACCAAACCUCCGCAAUGGACGGGACCACUCCCUUAUCUAAGAGCCACACCUCUAAGAAUUAAAACACUAACAUAAAAUGAUCCAUGAUCUGAUCAAUGAACCAAGUUACCCUGGGGAUAACAGCGCAAUCCAUUUCAAGAGCCCUUAUCGACAAGUGGGUUUACNACCUCGAUGUUGGAUCAGGGUAUCCUAGUGGUGCAGCAGCUACUAAUGGUUCGUUUGUUCAACGAUUAAAACCCU